CCUACGGGAGGCAGCAGUGAGGAAUAUUGGUCAAUGGACGGAAGUCUGAACCAGCCAUGCCGCGUGCAGGAAGACUGCUCUAUGAGUUGUAAACUGCUUUUGUACAAGGGUAAACCUGUACACGUGUAUUCAGCUGUAAGUACUUUAUGAAUAAGGAUCGGCUAACUCCGUGCCAGCAGCCGCGGUAAUACGGAGGAUCCAAGCGUUAUCCGGAUUUAUUGGGUUUAAAGGGUGCGUAGGCGGAUUGAUAAGUUAGUGGUGAAAGGUCGGGGCUUAACCCGGGAACUGCCUCUAAUACUGUUGAUCUAGAGAGUAGAUGCGGUAGGCGGAAUGUAUGGUGUAGCGGUGAAAUGCUUAGAGAUCAUACAGAACACCGAUUGCGAAGGCAGCUUACCAAUCUAUAUCUGACGUUGAGGCACGAAAGCGUGGGGAGCAAACAGGAUUAGAUACCCUAGUAGUC
rnacentral:rRNA from 1 species